CCCUUUGCAGAAGACAUUUGCCAAUUCCUGCUUUAGAGAUUUAUAGUUGACACAACAUCUGCGCAUGCAUUAUCAUGUUUAUUUCCCGAAGUAACCCAGUGUUCUGUCGUCUGUGCUCUCAUUUUGCAGGUGAGAGCCUGAGAGCUUGGAUGAGUUGCUCACAUGUCUUCAGUAGUUCAGAGUGAUGGGCUUCUUGGAAAGUCUGUGGCUAUAAGGAGGGUCCUCCUGGAAGAAGAAGUCACAGAAGUGAUGGAGACUUGAUGCAGGGAUGAGAGCCAAUGGCACACGAGGGACAAGCAUUCUUACAGAAGAUUUCUGCUCUGCUCACCAAAUUUCUGGAACAGUGGUGGACCAAAGACAGAAGUACUAGGAAAACACACAAGCAAACAUCUGGGCCUUCCAGCCAAACCAUCCUACUUGGAGAGAAUGACAUUUCCCUUAUGGCCUCUGUUCCAUCCGGUCCCCUUUAUCGAAGGGAGCGUCCUGUCAACGUAAUGAAGUGA
rnacentral:lncRNA from 12 species